UCCGGUAUGGUGUAACGGCUAACAUUGCCGCCUUUCAUUCGAAUGAUGUUGAAGGCUCGCGGCAGCUCGGGGUUCGAUUCCCCGUACCGGAA
rnacentral:tRNA from 1 species